AAGGAUUUAUGACCAGACUUUUUCUAGGCGGAUCAUCCGGUGUUCUCACCGGUGCACUUUGUCUAGUUUAGGCCAGCAUCGAUUUUCGGCAGCGGAUAAAAGCUUCAGGAAUGUGGCUCCUCCGGGAGUGUUAUAGCCUGUUGUAUAAUACGCCGCUGGGGAUCGAGGUACGCGCUUCUGCAAGGAUGCUGGCGUAAUGGUUAUCAAUCA
rnacentral:rRNA from 1 species